rnacentral:rRNA from 1 species
ACACUCCUACGGGAGGCAGCAGUGGGGAAUUUUGGACAAUGGGCGAAAGCCUGAUCCAGCAAUGCCGCGUGCAGGAUGAAGGCCUUCGGGUUGUAAACUGCUUUUGUACGGAACGAAAAAGCUCCUUCUAAUACAGGGGGCCCAUGACGGUACCGUAAGAAUAAGCACCGGCUAACUACGUGCCAGCAGCCGCGGUAAUACGUAGGGUGCGAGCGUUAAUCGGAAUUACUGGGCGUAAAGCGUGCGCAGGCGGUUAUGUAAGACAGAUGUGAAAUCCCCGGGCUCAACCUGGGAACUGCAUUUGGGACUGCAUGGCUAGAGUACGGUAGAGGGGGAUGGAAUUCCGCGUGUAGCAGUGAAAUGCGUAGAUAUGCGGAGGAACACCGAUGGCGAAGGCAAUCCCCUGGACCUGUACUGACGCUCAUGCACGAAAGCGUGGGGAGCAAACAGGAUUAGAUACCCUAGUAGUCCC